rnacentral:rRNA from 1 species
UUAAGUGAAUAAGUGCAUACGACGGAUGCCUUGGCAAUAGAAGGCGAUGAAGGACGUGAAAAUCUGCGAUAAGCUUCGGUUAGCUGAUAAUAAGCUCUGACCCGGAGAUCUCCGAAUGGGAAAACCCAGUAGUCAUAAGGCUACUAUCCUUAACUGAAUUCAUAGGUUAAGGAGGCAAACCUAGGGAACUGAAACAUCUAAGUACCUAGAGGAAAAGAAAUCAACCGAGAUUCCCUUAGUAGCGGCGAGCGAAAGGGGACCAGCCCUUAAGCAUAUAUAUAAUUAGUGGAACUUUCUGGAAAGUUAGGCGACACAGGGUGAUAGCCCCGUACACGAAAAUUGUAUAUAUGUGAAAACGAGUAGGACGGCGCACGUGAAACGCUGUUUGAACAUGGGGGGACCACCCUCCAAGGCUAAAUACUCUCUAUUGACCGAUAGUGAACAAGUACCGUGAGGGAAAGGCGAAAAGAACCCCGGGAGGGGAGUGAAAUAGAACCUGAAAUCGUAUGCAUACAAGCAGUGGGAGCCCUUCGGGGUGACUGCGUACCUUUUGUAUAAUGGGUCAGCGACUUACUUCUCAGUUGCAAGGUUAACUUUUAAGGGAGCCGUAGGGAAACCGAGUCUUAAAUGGGCGAUUAGUAGCUGGGAGUAGACCCGAAACCGGGUGAUCUAUCCAUGGCCAGGGUGAAGGUUAGGUAAAACUAACUGGAGGCCCGAACCCACUUAUGUUGAAAAAUGAGGGGAUGAGCUGUGGAUAGGGGUGAAAGGCCAAACAAACCCGGAGAUAGCUGGUUCUCUCCGAAAUCUAUUUAGGUAGAGCGUCACGUAUUACUUCUGGGGGUAGAGCACUGUUAUGGCUAGCGGGUCGUCAAGACUUAGUAAACCAUUGCAAACUCCGAAUACCAGAAAGUAUGAGCGUGGCAGACACACUGCGGGUGCUAACGUCCGUAGUGGAAAGGGAAACAACCCAGAUCGUCAGCUAAGGUCCCAAAAUUGUAGUUAAGUGGGAAACGAUGUGAGAAGGCCCAGACAGCCAGGAGGUUGGCUUAGAAGCAGCCAUUCCUUUAAAGAGUGCGUAAUAGCUCACUGGUCGAGUCGGCUCGCGCGGAAGAUUUAACGGGGCUUAAACUACAUACCGAAGCUGCGAGUGCUUUUAGCACGGUAGGAGAGCGUUCUGUAAGCCGUUGAAGGUGAACUGUGAGGUUUGCUGGAGGUAUCAGAAGUGCGAAUGCUGACAUGAGUAACGAUAAAGGGGGUGAAAAACCCCCUCGCCAGAAAUCCAAGGUUUCCUACGCAACGUUAAUCGGCGUAGGGUUAGUCGGCCCCUAAGGCGAGGCAGAAAUGCGUAGUCGAUGGGAAACAGGUUAAUAUUCCUGUACUUCAUAUAACUGCGAUGGGAAGACGGAGAAGGUUAGCUCAGCUUGGCGACGGUUGUCCAAGUUUAAGCAUGUAGAAAUGGUUCUUAGGCAAAUCCGGGAACCUCUAUUUCAAGGUGUGAUGACGAUCCCUCUUUUGGGAGAAGUGAGUGAUACCAUGCUUCCAGGAAAAUCCUCUAAGCUUCAGGUUAUAUGAAACCGUACCCCAAACCGACACAGGUGGAUGAGAUGAGAAUUCUAAGGCGCUUGAGAGAACUCGGGUGAAGGAACUAGGCAAAAUGACACCGUAACUUCGGGAGAAGGUGUGCUUUUUGUACGUGAUUUCACUCGCUGAAUGAGCGGAAGAAAGUUGAAGAUACCAGGUGGCUGCGACUGUUUAUUAAAAACACAGCACUCUGCAAACUCGUAAGAGGACGUAUAGGGUGUGACGCCUGCCCGGUGCUUGAAGGUUAAUUGAUGGGGUUAGCAUUAGCGAAGCUCUUGAUCGAAGCCCAAGUAAACGGCGGCCGUAACUAUAACGGUCCUAAGGUAGCGAAAUUCCUUGUCGGGUAAGUUCCGACCUGCACGAAUGGCGUAACGAUGGCCACACUGUCUCCACCCGAGACUGAGUGAAAUUGAAAUCGCUGUUAAGAUGCAGUGUACCCGCGGCUAGACGGAAAGACCCCGUGAACCUUUACUAUAGCUUUGCACUGGACUUUGAGCCUACUUGUGUAGGAUAGGUGGGAGGCUUUGAAACCGGAUCGCCAGAUUCGGUGGAGCCAACCUUGAAAUACCACCCUGGUAUGUUUGAAGUUCUAACCCAGACUUCGGUCGGGGACAGUGUAUGGUGGGUAGUUUGACUGGGGCGGUCUCCUCCCAAAGAGUAACGGAGGAGCGCAAAGGUAUCCUCAGCACGGUCGGACAUCGUGCAAUGAGCGCAAAGGUAAAAGGAUGCUUGACUGCGAGACAGACACGUCGAGCAGGUAGGAAACUAGGUCUUAGUGAUCCGGUGGUUCUGAGUGGAAGGACCAUCGCUCAACGGAUAAAAGGUACUCCGGGGAUAACAGGCUGAUACCGCCCAAGAGUUCAUAUCGACGGCGGUGUUUGGCACCUCGAUGUCGGCUCAUCACAUCCUGGGGCUGAAGCAGGUCCCAAGGGUAUGGCUGUUCGCCAUUUAAAGUGGUACGCGAGCUGGGUUUAGAACGUCGUGAGACAGUUCGGUCCCUAUCUACCGUGGGCGUUGGAGACUUGAGGGAAGCUGUUCUUAGUACGAGAGGACCGGAAUGGACACACCUCUGGUGUUUCGGUUGUGACGCCAGUCGCAUUGCCGAGUAGCUAUGUGUGGAAGGGAUAACCGCUGAAAGCAUCUAAGCGGGAAGCCCCUCCCAAGAUUAGGUCUCCCUGAUUGUUUAACAAUCCUGAAGAUCCCUUGAAGACUACAAGGUUGAUAGGCUAGAUGUAGAAGCGUGGUGACACGUGAAGCUAACUAGUACUAAUUGAUCGUGAGGCUUAACC